rnacentral:rRNA from 1 species
UACGGAGGGUGCAAACGUUGCUCGGAAUCACUGGGCGUAAAGCGAGCGUAGGCGGCGAUGCAAGUCGGGUGUGAAAGCCCUCGGCUCAACCGAGGAAGUGCAUUCGAAACUGCAUUGCUAGAGUACUGGAGAGGGUAACGGAAUUCCCGGUGUAGAGGUGAAAUUCGUAGAUAUCGGGAGGAACACCAGAGGCGAAGGCGGUUACCUGGACAGAUACUGACGCUGAGGCUCGAAAGCGUGGGGAGCAAACAGG